GCUGAGCAGAUUCGAGGUCAACCUUGAGAAGUUGGGGUUUUACGGCAGGGGAUUAGUCCAACUAAUAGGCGAGAUAAAAAAUUACUACGUCUAGAGUGUGAACCAACUCCGCCACUAACUUUGAGGAGCUACGUUACCGUAGGCUCCCAACACUAAGCAACUAAGGCUUAAGGGUUGAAAUGACGCUCGAACGGUCCUGCCCACUAGAAUACUAAUGGGCGCAAUAUGCGUUCAAAGAUUCGAUGAUUCACUGAAUUCUGCAAUUCACAUUACUUAUCGCAUUUCGCUGCGUUCUUCAUCGAUGCCAGAACCAAGAGAUCCGUUGUUGAAAGUUUUAACUUAUUUAGUUAUAGGUUCAGAAUUCAAUAUCAAACAGAGUUUGGUGGGCCGCCGGCAGGCUUACCCGCACCUCCCGGGUAAGUCUUACAGGGUAAGACUACGAGGUAGGCGCGACCUGCCGAGGCAACGUUAGGUAUGUUCACAUGGGUUUGGGAGUUAUAGAACUCUUUAAUGAUCCCUCCGCAGGUUCACCUACGGAGGGA
rnacentral:rRNA from 1 species